GGCCAUGGAUUGGUGGCAGAGCACUUGCUCUGCGUGCAGAAGGGCCCAGGUUCAAUCCCUGGAAGCAUCU